UACGUAGGGUGCAAGCGUUAAUCGGAAUUACUGGGCGUAAAGCGUGCGCAGGCGGUGAUGUAAGACAGAUGUGAAAUCCCCCGGGCUCAACCUGGGAACUGCAUUUGUGACUGCAUCGCUGGAGUGCGGCAGAGGGGGAUGGAAUUCCGCGUGUAGCAGUGAAAUGCGUAGAUAUGCGGAGGAACACCGAUGGCGAAGGCAGCCCCCUGGGCUGACACUGACGCUCAGGCACGAAAGCGUGGGGAGCAAACAGG
rnacentral:rRNA from 1 species